CCAUUUGAGAGCACUUAAUGAAGAUAUGCAGUCAAUUCAUAGAAAAUCCGUUUAUGCAGUCUGCCUGUGGACUCCUGUGUAAUUGGACAGCUAGCUGAUAAUUAUGCUCGUCAUGGCUAAGUGUUCCUGGAGUCAGAUGCUGCGCUUCUAGAGAAUCCAUUCGCUUCAAGAGAAUCCAUUUGGAUGUUGCAAAUUAUCUGUACACCAAAUAAAUGAAUGCAUGUUUACUUUACUUUAUGUUUUUAUUUAUGUUGUCAAUGUGCAUUUUAAAUCAUCCUUUGUUAAUAAUUACAAAAGUUAUGUCUCCUGUUU